UGGGGAAUAUUGGACAAUGGGGGCAACCCUGAUCCAGCCAUGCCGCGUGAGUGAUGAAGGCCCUAGGGUUGUAAAGCUCUUUUGUGCGGGAAGAUAAUGACGGUACCGCAAGAAUAAGCCCCGGCUAACUUCGUGCCAGCAGCCGCGGUAAUACGAAGGGGGCUAGCGUUGCUCGGAAUCACUGGGCGUAAAGGGUGCGUAGGCGGGUUUCUAAGUCAGAGGUGAAAGCCUGGAGCUCAACUCCAGAACUGCCUUUGAUACUGGAAGUCUUGAGUAUGGCAGAGGUGAGUGGAACUGCGAGUGUAGAGGUGAAAUUCGUAGAUAUUCGCAAGAACACCAGUGGCGAAGGCGGCUCACUGGGCCAUUACUGACGCUGAGGCACGAAGCAGCGGUGGGAGCAAACAGGAUUAGAUACCCUGGUAGUCCACGCCGUAAACGAUGAAUGCCAGCCGUUAGUGGGUUUACUCACUAGUGGCGCAGCUAACGCUUUAAGCAUUCCGCCUGGGGAGUACGGUCGCAAGAUUAAAACUCAAAGGAAUUGAC
rnacentral:rRNA from 1 species